GGCAGCACAGAGUUGGAAGAUGAAUGCACACAUGUGUGGCCAGAGCAGGGUCAAUGCUGUGGUAACCACCAAGACACGGGAGCUCCCCUUGUCCAGAGAAAAGGGAGGGCAGGGCCAGAAGAGCAGUUCUCCAGGCCCAGAAGUAAGCUACACCCACAGUUCUGUAUGCAGCUGUGAGAAAGGAGAGUGGAAAUCCAAGUCAAUGCAGUAUCACCGUGUUCCCAAUCACGAGUAUUCCACUGGGCCCACUGGCUGCCAAGACAUGGAUGGGAUCCAGUGAUGAGCGCCCUGGAAUUCCAUGGAAGACAGCACAAAACCAAUAAAACCACUGGUGUUCAGUUA